rnacentral:lncRNA from 1 species
UUCUGUAGCAGCUUUCUCCUGGAAGCCCAGCCUGUUCUGCACAUUCUCCUUUGAGCUAUCUGCUCAGGAAUGCACACGUGCUUCCUGGUGGACUGAAUGCAUAUCUUUGGGAGUCUUCUUCCAGACUGUGAGUGACUCCACGGGGCAAGAACCUCUGGUCCGUGCUGAUAUUCCCAUGUGCAGACAGAAAGGUGAGGGAACGACUCACGAUGACUUAGAGCUAGAACCAGAAGUAACUUCAACAGAUCCAGCAGCAGAUCUGGGACCCUUUAAUGCUUACAAGAAAUGGCAGGCCUGUAAGAAAUGGCCACUCUGUGAUGCCCAUGUUUAGGGAGCUACACAUCAGAUGUAGGGAGUCAGGGACUCACCAACCUGCUACCUACAGUAAUCUAUUUUUGCCUAUUGAAGCUCUCAGGAUCCAGGUAUAACAAUUUCUGUUUUUCUCAUUUAUACCACAUAUAUUUUGCUUUAAAUAUGACACCCACCCUUAGUGUUCUGCUAAGGUAGAAGAUAUAACAGUUUAGGCCAUGAUAGUCUGCCUUUCUCUAGCGUCAAGCAAAUAAAACGUAAAACAAAC